UAGGGAAUCUUCCACAAUGGGCGAAAGCCUGAUGGAGCAACGCCGCGUGUGUGAUGAAGGGUUUCGGCUCGUAAAACACUGUUGUAAGAGAAGAAUGACAUUGAGAGUAACUGUUCAAUGUGUGACGGUAUCUUACCAGAAAGGGACGGCUAAAUACGUGCCAG
rnacentral:rRNA from 1 species